UUUUAAGCUUUUUUGUUGCUGUGCUUUUUCUGGAGAUUUUAGUUGGAUUGGAAAGCUCCUGUGUAAGGUACCCUUUCCUAAAGAAAUAUUGAAGUAAUUUGUACAAUUAUAACGCGCCGAGCUGUGUUUUAUUUUAUUGUUUCUAAGAAGAUGUAAGAAUACAAUAUUAUCAAUUUUAAUUGGUUUUAUCCAAAUCAAGAUUGUGUACAAUGGGAGUGAGUGAUGUAAUCUUCUAAUGCGUGUGGUGAAAAGAAGGCGAAUCCGUUAUUGUUUUUCUGCCCAAAUUUGAAGCUAUUUAAUAAAUCUUGAUGAAGUUAAAAAACUGUUUUGA